UUCUUUUGCCAAAGAAGAACAUGUCGUCAUAGAUAGAAAUUGCAUGGUUGCGCACGCGCGAAGCGAGAGGUCAAAUAACAACAGUCAAUCCAAACUAAAAUCUCGAGAAUAUUUAUACCCCCUAAAAUAUCUAAUGGAGCAAAAACAAGACGAUACUAAUCUCGCCAACAAAUUGGAGAUCGUUCGUGUUGUGCUAAGCUGCUAAGCCCUCUCAACAACUAUUUCCCUUUCUUGGGAAUUUACCAAGGCUCUACAGGUAGCGUAAAAACACGAGGAACUAGUUUUAAACAGGUUUUAAAGAUGAGUGCACCAUAGUGAUCAGGUGUCAUGGAGCGAUUAUAUAGAAUAUCAACGCAAAUUAUAUCACGUCGCGUGAAUCAAUACGAGGUGAGGUCAUGUUAUGCAGAGAUGGCGGGAUAUAGCAGGAGAUAGCCGGAGUUUAGGGGCAAAUCAUGAACUCAAUCUCAUGUCCAGAUGCGUCAAAAUACGCAGUGAUUGUAGUAAAAUCCCUCACAUGCUGUGUUAGUACAGUAUUGUAGUAGGAGGGGAAUAAAGAGCUCUUGUCAGC